UCGAGGAUCUUCGGCAAUGGGCGCAAGCCUGACCGAGCGACGCCGCGUGUGCGAUGAAGGCCUUCGGGUUGUAAAGCACUGUCGAGGGGGAGGAAGCCGCAAGGUUGACCUAUCCCUGGAGGAAGCACGGGCUAAGUUCGUGCCAGCAGCCGCGGUAAGACGAACCGUGCAAACGUUGUUCGGAAUCACUGGGCUUAAAGGGCGCGUAGGCGGGCGAUCAAGUCCGGGGUGAAAGCCUCCAGCUUAACUGGAGAAGUGCCUUGGAUACUGGUCGCCUCGAGGAAGGUAGGGGCAUCUGGAACAAUGGGUGGAGCGGUGAAAUGCGUUGAUAUCCAUUGGAACUCCGGUGGCGAAGGCGAGGUGCUGGACCUUUUCUGACGCUGAGGCGCGAAAGCCAGGGGAGCGAACGGGAUUAGAUACCCCCGUAGUCC
rnacentral:rRNA from 1 species